GAACUACUCCCUCCAUCCGGAAAUACUUGUCUUAAAAAUAGAUAAAAUAGAUGUAUCUAUAACUAAAAUAAGUCUACUGUAGAUACAAUCAUUUUGAGGACAAAUAUUUCCAGACGGAGGGAGUACCAC
rfam:Triticum aestivum genome assembly, contig: Triticum_aestivum_CS42_TGACv1_scaffold_569281_7AS